UAUUUGGCCAAUGUAGUUUAGGCUUAAUAUUUUGCCAAAAAAAUCUGUUUUUACAUUUAUACCCUAGCCAAUAUUUGGCCAGUAUAUACUUUUAAAAUGUUUCGAAACAUUUUUUAAAAAUGGUAUCGUUUGACAGAAUAAAAAAAGGUAAAGUUGUAUCCUUGAAAGAUAUGCUGGUAUUAUUGGCACAAUGGGCAAGCAUUGAAGUGCCACUUGGUGAACUCCAAAACACAUCAAUUUCAGUUAUAAAAAUUUGAGUAACAAAGGUAUGCUAAUUAUUUUAUUGCCUGAAAGAGUGUAAUUGCCAUUAAAAGCAGUAAAGAAUUCAAGGACUGGAAGAAAAAAGACAAUAAAAUACUUAAGUAAAUGGUAAAUUUUUUUUUUAAAUCUUUUUAUGCAUUUUGUAUGAUAUCUUAGUACAACUUAUAUACUUUAAAUAAAAUACUCUUUGAAGAUUUCUUGUAAAUGACAUUUUAUAUUAAUUUAAGUCUAAACAAAAGUUACUUUAAUUAUUGCCAGGUUGUGUAUUUUUGCACUUCAAUUAUUUGGCACAAAUUAGAGUUAAAGACGAAGGAGAUUGGAUAUGUUAUUUACUAAGAAUAGUUUUUUAAAAUGGCCUAGCUGUAAAAUUAAACUAUACAGGGAGAGGAUAAAAAACUGAAAUAGGAAAAAUGUUGAUUGCAUAUGUUUUUAUUGAAACUGAAGAAGUCAAAUAAGCAUGGCUUAUGCAGACACGUGAUAGAGAUAGUGCAAGAAAAAAUAAUAAACGUGGGCACCAAAUAUGAUAAGCUAAACACGAUUCAAUAACAAGUAGCUCAGCCAAUAUCGAAACUGCUCUAUAAAUUUUAUGAAUUUUUUUAUUUAAAAGUCAAUGUGUCAGUUUUUGGUUUAAGUUUGGUGUUUUCAAUAUUUAUAUUUAAC